AUGGAUGAUGGAAAUAAUUAAUUGGAUUAAUUAAGUGUUGUGAUUAAUUUAGAAAGUCUAAAGAAAUCAUAAAAACGAUAAAAGAUCGUUUUGGGCUUAAAGAAACGUUCGGGUUUAAUUGGGCCCCAUUGGGCCUAAACCCAUUGGGCUUUUAUUCAAGCAUUGGAUGACUAGAAAUAUAUAAAAGCCCAAAGCCCAAACCAACACAAAGGGGCCGGCCCUUGCAAGUGGAGAGGGAGAGAUAUUUAGUCAAGUUGUUGACUAGGUUUCUUUUUGUCUAUAUAAGGAACUUUAUAGAGUUUUAAUCCUUAGGGUUUUUGUGUGUUUUUAAACAACAAAGAGGCAAAAGAAAAUAGCUCUCUAAAACCACAAAGGCCGGCCACCUAGAGGGUGAAUUAGCUAACAAUCUUUUACUCUUUUGGUUAUUCCUCCAUCCAUCUCACUACACUAGUGGGUGUGGAUCUUUAGAGGUCUUCUCCUUUGGAGACUAAAGGAGAACCUUGGAGCACUCUUACUAACAAAGUGGAGGAGGCAAUGAGGGAGGCUAGGCUCAAGGACUUCAAGGAACAAAGGGCUUGGAGGUGGUCCAUCCUUGGUCUCAAGUCUAGAUCAAGAGGUAUAAGACUAAACCUACACCUUGUUCUUUACUAAAAUGUUUUGAUGCAUUAUAUAUAAACCUAUGAACCUUGAAGGGGAUUUGCAUGACUAUAGCUUUGAUAUUAUUUGAUAAAUUGCUUCCGUUGCUCAUGUAUAUAAAUUUUGAAUUGUAUAUGCAUGCUAGUCAUUUAGAAAUCCCAUGUGCUAAACUCAUUAUUUUCCCUUCAACUGUUCCAAAAUUUAAACUUUAGGUAUGACUCUGGGACGAAAAGAACUUGAUGUACUAAAUGUUGAAAACCAUAAAACUUCUGGGUAGUAAACAAAGUUUAACCCUAUAUUUUAAAUUGAUUUUCUUAUUUUUGUCAUUAUUAAAUUAUUAAACUUUUUAAAAUUAUUUUUUUGCCACGUGGUAAAAUUUGAUGAUAUGUCAUUAAACAUGUGGUCCUGCUCUGUCACGUCAACAGUUAACAGAUAAAUUGAUGGAAUUUUUAACGAAGGUAUGACAUUGCAACAAAUUCGUGAAUUGAGGUAAGACAUUGUAAUGUUUAAAACAUAAGAUAUGAAAUUGUAAUGCGACUCAUAGUUGAGGUAGUUUUGUGUAAUUUACCCUAUAUUUUAUGAACAUAUAUAUUUGUUCAUGCAAUACGCAAUUCUGUUGAGUGGAAUUUGUGAGUCAAAGCAUUGGAAUUAAUUUAGAAGCAAUUAGGGUUUUUAACCCUAGAAUUCAAAUAUAAUAAUAAUAAUAAUAAAAUUUGGGAUUAUUUGUGGCUAAGCAGCAGCUCCACGCCGCGCCGUUAAGUCGAGCUAGCUAGCCUGCAACUACGCCACCACGAAGGACGGCGUCAUUUCGACACCAUGGAACUCUAGCAAACCUACAAGCCUUGUUGGGCCGUCCCUUACAGCCUGGCCCAAAAACACCAGCAAGCCUUUGCUUGCUGGGCUUUGUCUAUGCAUCGGCCUGCCUACAGUAAGCUUCAACUAGCAAGGCUUUGCCUGCGUGUUGUUGGAAGUAUGCCCACAAAGCCACUCAUUUGAUGUAAUAGCUUUUGGAAUACUUAUUGUAUUAAACUUUUAUAUGUUUAAUGAAAGGCAAAGCUUAUUGUUAAUCACUAUUUAUUGUAUCAUGUGCUUAAGCAAUAAGGGAAUCCAAGGGAUGUAUUUGAUCUAAGAGACAAGUGAUUUAAGUAAGUUAGAUUAUCGAGACCUUUCUCUUAUGUUCAUUCCUAAAACGUUCCUAGCCAUAGGAUUGCCAAUUGGGCAUUGACAAUCCGCUAAGGUUAGUAUGUGUUAUGUCGACUCAAGUGUGAGUAUGAUUUGUCUCAAGUCAUUUAGUGUUGGACACUAAGACAAACACAUAGGUGCUCGAAAGAGUAAUCGAGUACACUGAACUACGAUUAAAAGAGAGUUCGAACAUACAUGUCAUGUAAGAACUCGAUAGUUGCAAUAUGCAAAGUAGUCCUUUGACCUGAGGCAUCAUAGAUGUCUAAUGGUUAGGUCCUUGACCCUUGAUCAUGUCAAAGGCAUUCCAUUGGAGUGUCCACGGCAUUGUUGGGGUCAAGCUAUCUAGUCAUGUAGACAUA
rnacentral:lncRNA from 1 species